AGAAGAAAGGGUGUGUUUUUUGACGCACUCUGCGUCAAUCGGGUUCUAAGGGUUAACAGGGUGUACAGCUCUGUUAGUUACAGUUUCUUGAUAGUGUAUGAUAAUGGAUUGUGUGGAGAUAGGCUAUGGCACUGAGCCCCCGCUGGACAAGCUCCCACCUGCGCUGAUUGUUCAUACCAACCGUGGCCCCAGAUUGCUUCUAUUGCUCCCUGACUCAGACUCCCUGUCUGUGCGGAAAACAAUUUCUUGGUAACAACCCCCUUCCGCCGGCUAACGAGUCCAGGGCAGAUUGGAGAUGAUAAUGACCGUCUGUGACACACCGACACAGCCAGGCUCAUUUUCCAUCAAAUAUGAGCCAUUUAGCCUUCUGCAGGGGCAGCAGGCUUUAUUUUAGGACAACAAGCUUCCACAGGUUAGCAAUGACAGGAAAUGAAUGUCAACACGGAAAUAAAUAUAUACACGCAUUAAA